AAUAUGGCAACUCCUAACCCUGUCCACAGUGACAAACUUUCCCCCACCUGCCAACUUUCCCCCCGAAACCAAACUCGACUCCACAGUGUCCCACCUGAUGUUUGUUGCCUGUGGCCCAUGACCCCCAGGCUGCAUGUUUCCCCUCCCGAAUGCGAGCAAUGUCCCUGUGGAUUAUCCCUCUUCCCCGCGCUGUAAAUAUAAUCAACAAUUUCAUACAUUAUCACCAUGAGACACGUUUUGACAUAUUUGAGGAGAAGUGACGUAGCAAAAUGGCAUUAUCAGUACAACCCGUGCUGUGGUAAUAACAGUUGGAGAUGGCGCUACUAUAAUUUCUUCACAACAGUUAAAACCUGACUUCAAAUAUGUAUUUUUUGUAAGUAACCUGCACACAGGUGCAAUCUCAAUGUCUUAGAAUACCACAAAAGUGUUCAUUGACUGCAUUAGUUCAUAAAAUGAAGAUCAUAUUACGCUGUCAGUCAUCACGCAUAUGAAUUUCGCUUUUUGAAUUGAGCGACUAUAAAACGCAGAGUCCACAAUAUUCCGCUUUAGCGAUGCGCCUGUAGGUAAGUUAUUCAAAGCAUUGUUGCAUCCUAAACGUUGAACGAUAAGAUUUAUAUGGAAACAACAACAUGACCUUUGCAAGGAGAUGUAUUAUGCAUUUUUCUUUUGUGGGUGCUGACAACAUUUCCCAGGUAUCUUAAUAACAUGUCUGUGACUUUUCACCUUGUGUCAAAAUACCCCAAUGAUCACAGCACACACCAUUUGCAGUCUGGUGUUGAGAGCCAGCCACUGGCAAGGUAGCUGUUCAUACAUUAAACGGUGUGUUAAGUGCGGUUGUUUAAUAUCCCACUUGAUGGGGCAUACCGAAAGCAGAGAUGCAAGCGAGCCAGAAUAUGUCCCCUUAAAAAUCCACAGACUAUACACACUUCCUUUUCCUAAAUUGUGCCGCUUCUGUGUUUGGAUCAGUAGUCUCUUGCAGUUUUUCCCAACCUUUAUUGAGCCAGGUGUCCAUUUUGCAUACAUUAGAAAAAUAGAAUCAAUCUCACAAAAUAUCACCCCCCCCCACACCCC